rnacentral:ncRNA from 1 species
GCAGAGUAGGUCUGCGCGUGUUGAGACGGCCAGUGCCGUCCCAGUGCCGGCGGAACGGGGAGUUGUCCGCCGGACGAAUCGGUCCACGGGACCAGCAGUGCGCAGUCCGCAUCCCGCUGC